AACGAACGCUGGCGGCAGGCUUAACACAUGCAAGUCGAACGCCCCGCAAGGGGAGUGGCGCACGGGUGAGUAACGCGUGGGAAUAUGCCCUUCGGUUCGGAAUAACACAGGGAAACUUGUGCUAAUACCGGAUACGAUCUACGGAUGAAAGAUUUAUCGCCGAGGGAGUAGCCCGCGUAGGAUUAACUAGUUGGUGAGGUAAUGGCUCACCAAGGCGACGAUCCUUAGCUGGUCUGAGAGGAUGAUCAGCCACACUGGAACUGAGACACGGUCCAGACUCCUACGGGAGGCAGCAGUAGGGAAUAUUGCGCAAUGGGGGAAACCCUGACGCAGCGACGCCGCGUGAGUGAUGAAGGCCUUCGGGUCGUAAAGCUCUGUUAUAUGGGAAUAAGAUCUGAAUGUACCAUGUGAGAAAGGAUCGGCUAACUUCGUGCCAGCCGCCGCAGUAACAC
rnacentral:rRNA from 1 species